ACCACCAUAGCUCAGUGGCAGAGCUUUUACUCCGUAUGCAAAAGGUCGCAGGUUCGAUCCCUCCUGGCAUCUCCAAGGCU